rnacentral:lncRNA from 1 species
UCCAGGCAAGGGACUAAACAUCAUCCUGGCGACUCCGGCGGGAGCUCCCUCUGGAAGCGCGGCAGGGCCAGCGGCGACCGUACCACCGCCACCAACCGUACCGGCCCCGGUUGCGGCUCCUCCUCCGUCCGUCCCUCCUCCAGUUGUGGCGCCCGCGACCCCACCGACGGUACCGCCCCCAGUUGCGACUCCACCACCGGCACCAGUUCCAGUUGCCACUCCGCCCCCGGCUGCGGCGCCCGCCCCAGUUGUGCUGACCCCACCCGUGGCUGCACCGACUCCAGUUGUGGCAGCGCCUACCCCGGUUCUGACGCCCCC